GGAGAAGAAUUUCAUUUGCCCAGACAUCGUCAAGACGUUAAGACGACCACAACACUGUGAUUUGAAAUCAAAAAAGAAUCGUUAUAUAGUUUUCCAACAAAAAAAAAUCAUAUCUUUGUUCACUUCCAUACUAAAAAGCUUCCUUAUUAAAAAAUACUUUUGUUUGUUAACAAAUCAUUGUUCAAUUCAAAGCCAAAUACAAAACAGAGUAAUUAACAACAUCUGAUCAAUUUGAGAGGCAUAUUAAAAAAAACAGCAGCAACAACAGCACCAAGAAAAUACCAAAAACAAUUUCCCAGUUGUCUGGUAAACGAAUUCCCCACAAGACGUUAUUACAUCAGGUGUUCAAUACAAACAAUAUUUAAAAUAUA
rnacentral:sRNA from 1 species